AAACUACUCCCUCCGUUCGGAAUUACUUGUCUCGAAUAUGGAUGUAUCUAGAACUAAAAUACAUCUAGAUACAUCCAUUUCUGCGACAAGUAAUUCCGAACGGAGGGAGUAACAA
rfam:Triticum aestivum genome assembly, contig: Triticum_aestivum_CS42_TGACv1_scaffold_392953_5AS